ensembl:snRNA U6 U6 spliceosomal RNA
GCGCUCACUCCAGCAGCACGUAUACUAAAAUUGGAACAAUACAGAGAUUAGCACGGCCCCUGGGCAAAGAUGAUAUGCAAAUUCGUGAAGUGUUCCGUAUUUAA